rnacentral:rRNA from 1 species
UACAGAGGAGCCAAGCGUUGUCCGGAUUGACUGGGCGUAAAGCGCACGCAGGCGGAUGCGCGCGUGGGGUGUGAAAUCUGGCCGCUUAACGGCCAGGCGCCAUCCCAUACGGCGCGACUGGAGGGCUGCAGAGGUCGAUGGAAUUGCCGGUGUAGUGGUGAAAUGCGUAGAGAUCGGCAGGAACACCCAGGGGGAAACCAGUCGACUGGCAGCACCUGACGCUGAGGUGCGAGAGCGUGGGGAGCGAACCGG